rnacentral:rRNA from 1 species
GGUGAACGCUGGCGGCGUGCUUAAGACAUGCAAGUCGAACGCAGUCUUCGGACUGAGUGGCGCACGGGUGAGUAACACGUAACUGACCUACCCCCAAGUCGCGAAUACCCAGCCGAAAGGAUGGCUAAUACGUGAUGUGAUGAUCCGCUGUGGCGGAUCAUUAAAGACUUGAUCGCUUGGGGAUGGGGUUGCGUUCCAUCAGCUAGUUGGUAAGGUAAAGGCUUACCAAGGCAACGACGGAUAGCCGGCCUGAGAGGGUGGCCGGCCACAGGGGCACUGAGACACGGGUCCCACUCCUACGGGAGGCAGCAGUUAGGAAUCUUCCACAAUGGGCGCAAGCCUGAUGGAGCGACGCCGCGUGAGGGAUGAAGGUUCUCGGAUCGUAAACCUCUGAACCAACGACGAAAGACCCGACAAGGGAGAUGACGGUAGUUGGGUAAUAGCACCGGCUAACUCCGUGCCAGCAGCCGCAUAACAC